UGGCGGAGGGGGGGGUAACGGCGGAAUCGUCGCAUCAUCAGUGUUGCAGGAGACCUUUAAGGUCGUCGAGUCCAACCGUGAACCCAGUACCGCUGCCGACUGCUGUAACCCAUAAAUCACUGUAGUCCCUAAAUCACUCAACCCCUAAAACGCAUCACCCAGCGCCAGAUCCAGAUGUCUCUUAAACACCCCGCAGGGAUGGUGACUUCACCACCUCCCUGGGGCAAUCUGUGCCAAUGCCUGGCCACCCCGAACACUGAAAAAUUGUUUUUCUGAUAACUAAUCUGAAUCUAUCUAAUCUGAAUUUCUAAUGUCUAAUCUGUCUGGCUUCUCUCAGCCUGGGGCCGUGUCCUCUGGUCCUCUCACUGCAGGCAUGGUGGAAGAGACCGGCCCCCACCUCACUACAACCCCUUUUCAGUCUGUUGUAUGAAGUCCCUCCUGAGCCUCCUCUUCUUCUCCAGGCUAAACAAACCCGUCUCCCUCAGCUGCUCUUCAUAAGAGUGCAAGGAAAAGGCAUUUUGAGGGACUGCUCUGCUGCCGGCAGAUCCUCUUUACAAGGCCUUGUGUGUUGAGUGUUGCUACAGAAAAAAAAAAAAAAAAACCUGAGUUUUUUUGGUUUGUUUUGGUUUGUUUUUUCGGUGUUUUGGUUUUUGUUUUUUAUUUGGGUUUUUUUUUGCUACUAACCCAGAACUGAUUCUGGGUGAUAAUAUAUACUUUGGUUUUUUCUGUAUGAUUUCACAAAUGAUCGAUCGUGUGACAAUUUCCGGUCCUGGGUCAGGUCAGCUGCAACUGUGUGGCCACAGCAAAGGCAUGAAAAGUCUUGAAAAGCCCCAAGGAUGGGGAUUCCUAAGUAUGAACAAAGGAGCAGAGAAUAAACCUCUGAAUAGUAAGGCUGAAACACCUUAAUAAACCUGAGGUUUAUUGCUCUACUACAGCUACUGCUGUUAACAACAGUCACAUUUGCUCCUUCGGGCCUCUUCCCGGGGAAAGGCUCCUGAAAGCUGCCAGAGCUGUCCUUGUUCUCCCACACACCCUCUGCUUAGGCUGGUCCCCCUCAGCCAUAAGCUGUAUAUAUAUUUAUGUCACAUAUAUAUAUGUACUUUUAUAAGCUGUGCUGCCGGAGCCCUUGCUUCUUAAGCUUUCUUCCUCGUGUGACUUCUGCUUUCUGCAAAAGGGGAAAAAAAAAAUCUUGGCAGGGAGAAAGCUCAGCACAAGCACAAGGAGCCUUUGGAAAUGUAGCUUUGAGAGGUGCCUGCUCUCCCUGUGUCCUGGCUGUUAUUUUCCUUAGGUUUUUAAUGUUAUAUUGCAAGACGCUAUCCAGGCUUGAAGCUGUUAAGUAAAGAAUCGCAGAAUCACAGAAUAUUUAGGGUUGGAAGGGACCUCUGGAGAUCAUCUAGUCCAACCCCCAUACUUAACAGAUUUUUAGAGUACUGUGUUUCAGUACUGUUAAUAGUUAAUUAUACAAAACUAAAGGAGUUGUGCAGGGAUGAGAUAAUUCUUAGAAGUGUAUGCAUGUAUCUUUGUGGUUUCAUGACAGUAGUUAGUGCUUUGUACCUUGGACAGUCUAAAAAAUAAAGCAACUGAUACAGCUGAAUGCAAACUCAGAUUAAAGAUGUAGUCUUAGUAACCCCUUUGAGGUAAGAUUUAGGGCAAUGCAACUGCUUGCAUAAGUAAGGCUGACCCUCGGGGAGUGAUCUCUAUAUAUUAUGAAGUUUUAAGUAGGCCAAAUGACGCCUUUAAAAACCUCUGUGAAGGAUAAAAUAAAAUAGUGAAUAAAGAUGGAUUGAUUUCACAUUCCCUUUGCUGUUUUUCCCUUUCUGUGCUCUCUCUGCUGAAUGUGUUUAUUUUGGAGCACCAUGACACAGCGCAUAACACUGUGACAAAUGAAGUGGUGAUGUGAAAAUAAUAAUUACAUAUAAAAUAUUGUUGUGUUAAAACUGCCAAAAAGAAGAUUUGGUACCAUGUUGAUGUUGUUUUUCAGGCAUUUGCUAUUUGGCUUCCAACAGCUAGACACUUUGCCAGGAAAAUUCAAAUUAAUUCUGCCAGCUUCAAGCUCCUUCUGGAAAAGGAACUGCCUUGUCACUGUUGCCCUAUUUGUGGGAGUCUGAGCUGAUCUAAGAUUAGCAAAGGUUACCUUAAGAGUUCAUGGAGGAACCUGAAAUCUUGAAAUCGAAUGCUGAUGCACAACUGCUAAGAUGAAUAGGGAAUAUCCCAUAUGGAUGGCUGCUCAGGAACCUGGAUAAAUGAAGGGUGACCGUGGAGUUCAAGAACAGAUCAGAAGUUGUUCUCAUCUGAAAGAUUGAAGCAAAGCACAGCAAUAAACGAGCAGUUCUUAGAAA